rnacentral:rRNA from 1 species
AAAGGUUGACCUCGAAUCAGGUAGGAAUACCCGCUGAACUUAARCAUAUCMAUA